UUACAAAGAAUUACAAAGAACUGUAUUCUACUGUUAACAUUGAUUGCUUUUUUUAAGCUUUACUAUAACUCAUACUAUACGACCAUCACAAGUUCUCCCGCCCAAUAACAAAGAAUUGUAAGAACAUCCAUCUAGCAAAUUGAAUAAAACAGAAAUUAAAAAUAAAAUAUAAUGCAUAAAUCAAAAUUGAACAUAACCAUUGGUUGCUAUUUAACAACUUUAACAAAACAAAAAUCAAAUAUAAUCCAAUAACAAAGAAUUGUAACAACAUUCAUUACAACUGUUUCUAUUUUGUGUUGUGAGUUAUGCAGUAAUUGAUAAGCUACCUGGUUUAACAGUUGUGUUAUAUGCUAACAGGAACCAUAAACUAGGGAAAAGAAGGAAGACCACAUCAAAAGAAAUAAAACCAACAACAGGAAAAUGAAUGAAAGCAGACUACAGAAAAAAAAAAAAAAACGAAUGCAGACAUCAUGAACAAAUACGAACCUUAGCAGUGAGGUUGAUGUCUUCACAGGGGAGAAGGUUAUGGUGGCGAGCAGUGGACGACUUGCUUGAUGAGGCAACGACCGACAGAAUUAGGGCUCGUCGGCUGUGGCAGUACCGAAAUCGAAGAACAGUUGCAGACUCGUUGGGGUCUUCUGUCGUGGAGGCGGACUCGCCGGCGUCAGAUCUGACCGGAAUCGAACUCGUCGGCGUCGCUAUGGCCGGAAUCGAAGAAACAAUCGGGUGAACAUCGACGUCGGGGGUUUAUUGGGUUUAGACUUUAGAGUAUGUAGUUCAAUUCUUUAUUUUUUUUACUUGGUAUUAAAUUUUGACCCUAAAGGGUAAAUAUGUUUAAAAGCAC
rnacentral:lncRNA from 1 species